UAUACCCGACGAUAUCCGAAUGGGGAAACCCAGUAUCCAAUGGAUACUAUCAUUAACUGAAUCCAUAGGUUAAUGAGGCGAACCGGGAGAACUGAAACAUCUCAGUACCCCGAGGAAAAGAAAUCAACCGAGAUUCCCCUAGUAGCGGCGAGCGAACGGGGAGCAGCCCAGAGUCUUAAUCAAUAGCAGUGUCAGGAGAACGGUCUGGAAAGUCCGGCAGUAAAGGGUGAUAGCCCCGUAUCUGAAGAUGCUGUUAUUGUGAACUCGACGAGUAGGGCGGGACACGUGUUAUCCUGUCUGAAUAUGGGGGGACCAUCCUCCAAGGCUAAAUACUCCUGAUUGACCGAUAGUGAACCAGUACCGUGAGGGAAAGGCGAAAAGAACCCCGGCGAGGGGAGUGAAAAAGAACCUGAAACCGUGUACGUACAAGCAGUAGGAGCC
rnacentral:rRNA from 2 species